AUAUAUAUAUAUAUAUAUAUAUAUAUAUAUCAUCCAGUCUGCAGCCCAAUAUGAGUUAAACAGAAAAGCAGUUAUAUGCUAUAUAAUAGUGCUACCUGUUUCAAGCAGGACAGAUAUGAAUUUGGGAAUGGCUUGUGGAAACCAGGUAUGAUCCUUCAACCAUUUGCCUGCUUUAAAAGAUUUGUUUCUCUCUCUCUUUUUACAGAGUGUAUGCAAGUAUUGUAAGUAUGUUAAUAUGGGUUAGAAUUCAUUAAAUAAACAAGAAAGGCAUGUGCCUUUACACUGACUGUUUGUACUAAAAAAAAACUAGAUAAAAAAAUAAUGCUGACUAUUUUUGUUGUUUUAUUAAAGAACUCCCCCCCUCCCCCAAAAAAUGAAUGCAAAAUAGUUGUUUGAUCUUUCCUUUUGAGAUCAUAUAAACGGUACAUGCAUGUUUUAAUCUAUAUACAACAGACAUCUAAUGAGUUAAACAUUUGGUAUAUUCCAGCAUGCAAAACUUAUAUACACAGUGUAAAGUAAAUAAGACACUACAGAACUGUAUCUGGAUACGAAUGCCACCUGCAAGUGACGGUGUAAAAUAAAAUAUUUACUAUGGAAGUAUUUGCAGAACUUUUCUAUUGCAACAUUCUUAUUGUUCUCAUUUGCAUUUGUAGCUGGGUGAUACUCUGCCGUUACGGGUUCUGUCCAGUCCUCUGCCGGUGCAAAGGAGCCUGAAAUGUAGUGAAAUGUACCGCUCUGGCAGUGGAAGCAAUGCCACAAUAUGCCAGAACUGCUUCAGAUUUAUUGUGUCUUUCCAAGCUCUCUUAUAAAAGUGUCCCAUUGCUGAAGCACAGCAAAGCGUAAUAAAGCACAACGAAAGCAUGGUAAAGCAUAGGUAGACUUUUAAGGGUCUUAUUGUCCUAUGCAUUCAAAUGAUCAAUACAUGUUCUUCUUUCCCAUGUUAAUGCCCUUCUUUUUGGCUGGGACUACCCCUACCUCAUCCCUGCAAUUUCUUCACAGAAAUGGCCCCAAUUUUACAGGUGAGACAUUGCAUAACGGUAGAAAACAGUUACGCAAUGCCGAUUAAAGCAUGCAUGAUACAAUAGUGCAUUUGUUCAGGGUAAAAUGAGAAAACAGACAAACAUAUAAAUGUAGCAACUUUUAAAUAGUAGCCAAUGGAUAGCAUUUGUUCAAGGGGAGUCUCGUCGUCUAUACUUGCGAUUGACAGUUAAGAAGUUGCGGUUUGGUGUUCUCUGGAACUUUUGGCUUCCUGAGUUUGGAAUUAAUUUCCCUAACGCUUCUUCUGUCUGAUGAUCACAUCAAACGACUGCUGUUGGCACGAGUUCCUUCCCUGUUCUUGGCUCUGAUAUCACCAGACUUUCCCUAACGCUAUGUCAAGGAUUUAAAACAGCGAGGUAGGCUACUGUUGCUUCCUUCGAUAAUCAUCUAGAACAGUUUUAUGAAUAUCUAUUAGAUUUUGCUAAUCGAUAGUACCUUAUCAAUUAUGCGAUUAUUGUGAAUAAAAGUGGAAUGUUUAAUCAAUAUAAGGUCUGUUCUCUUUAUUGGAGAUCCAGAUAGGUCAUUUCUGUACACCGUGGCUCCAAUGAUGAAUGCCGAUAUUCUCAGCCUGAAGGCGGUGACCACGCACCCCUGACUCGGGCCCCGCCCCCUCAGGUGUACUCCUGACUCUGGCCCCGCCCCCUCACCUGAAUCGCAGGUGCUGCGGGCAAGAUGGCGGCGAGGCGAGUUUGUGCACACCCUGUUGCUAGAUUUUUUACAUUUGUUUUUUAAUUUAAUUUUUUUUCUUUCCUUGAAAGAUAGCGUAGGGAGAAUGCAUAGGGUUUAAUUUACAAAUCCGGGACUUCUGAAUUGCCUUUUCUCUAUUUGGCAGGAUAGGGGAAUUUUACAGAUGCAUCGUGGUGUUGCCAGCUCCGGGUCCAGCGUUUGCUUUUACCUGGUGCCGAGGCUUGCUGACUUUCAAGUUUAAAUGGAAAACGAUGUUGCUCUGGGUUCAUUCGCCAUGCUGUUUCUGCUUCUCGUUGACGGUAUCCGUUGCCGUGGUGAUGAGGAGGAGUAAUGUAAUGUCUUGUUGAUUUAAACAAUAUUUGCAUAUUUUAUAAUCCUGUUGACGUUGUUUUAUAUUCUAGUAAAUACAGCCUAAUUGCUACAGCAGUAUUUGUGCAAUUGUAAUAACACGCUGUCGUUGCUAAUGUUUGCAAGUGUUACAUUUACAGUAUGCCUCAUUUGUUUCCCUAUAUGUUUCUGUCAAUUGAUUCAAUAAA